UGAGAGGACGAUCAGCCACACUGGGACUGAGACACGGCCCAGACUCCUACGGGAGGCAGCAGUAGGGAAUCUUGCGCAAUGGGGGCAACCCUGACGCAGCAACGCCGCGUGUGGGAUGACGGCUUUCGGGUUGUAAACCGCUUUCAGUGAUGACGAAAAUGACGGUAAUCACAGAAGAAGGUCCGGCCAACUACGUGCCAGCAGCCGCGGUAACACGUAGGGACCGAGCGUUGUCCGGAUUUAUUGGGCGUAAAGAGCUCGUAGGCGGUUCUGUAAGUCGGAUGUGAAAACUCAGGGCUCAACCCUGAGACGCCAUCUGAUACUGCAGUGACUAGAGUCCGGUAGAGGAAGAUGGAAUUCCUGGUGUAGCGGUGGAAUGCGCAGAUAUCAGGAGGAACACCAACGGCGAAGGCAGUCUUCUGGGCCGGUACUGACGCUGAGGAGCGAAAGCAUGGGGAGCAAACAGGAUUAGAUACCCUGGUAGUCCAUGCCGUAAACGUUGGGCACUAGGUAUGGGACCAUAUCAACGGGUUCCGUGCCGUAGCUAACGCAUUAAGUGCCCCGCCUGGGGAGUACGG
rnacentral:rRNA from 1 species